rnacentral:rRNA from 1 species
GAUGAACGCUGGCGGCGUGCUUAACACAUGCAAGUCGAACGAUGAAGCCCAGCUUGCUGGGUGGAUUAGUGGCGAACGGGUGAGUAACACGUGAGUAACCUGCCCUUAACUCUGGGAUAAGCCUGGGAAACUGGGUCUAAUACCGGAUAGGAGCGUCCACCGCAUGGUGGGUGUUGGAAAGAUUUAUCGGUUUUGGAUGGACUCGCGGCCUAUCAGCUUGUUGGUGAGGUAAUGGCUCACCAAGGCGACGACGGGUAGCCGGCCUGAGAGGGUGACCGGCAACACGGGAAUGAGACAAGGCCCCGACUUCUAAGGGGGGGAGCAGGGGGGAAUUAUGGAACAUGGGCGGAAGCCUUAUGCAGCGACGCCGCGUGAGGGAAGAAGGGCCUCGGGUUGUAAACCUCUUUCAGUAGGGAAGAAGCGAAAGUGACGGGAACUGCCGAAGAAGCACCGGCUAAAUACGUG